GAUCCUGGCUCAGGAUGAACGCUGGCGGCGUGCUUAACACAUGCAAGUCGAACGAAGCACUUUAUUUGAUUUCCUUCGGGACUGAUUAUUUUGUGACUGAGUGGCGGACGGGUGAGUAACGCGUGGGUAACCUGCCUUGUACAGGGGGAUAACAGUUGGAAACGGCUGCUAAUACCGCAUAAGCGCACGGCAUCGCAUGAUGCAGUGUGAAAAACUCCGGUGGUAUAAGAUGGACCGCG
rnacentral:rRNA from 1 species